rnacentral:rRNA from 1 species
GAUGAACGCUGGCGGCGUGCCUAAUACAUGCAAGUCGAGCGAACAGACGAGGAGCUUGCUCCUCUGACGUUAGCGGCGGGCGGGUGAGUAACACGUGGAUAACCUACCUAUAAGACGGGGAUAACUUCGGGAAACCGGAGCUAAUACCGGAUAAUAUAUUGAACCGCAUGGUGCAAUAGUUAAAGACGGUUUUGCUGUCACUGAUAGAUGGUGCCGGGCCGCAUUAGCUAGUUGGUAAGGUAACGGCUUACCAAGGCAACGAUGCGUAGCCGACCUGAGAGGGUGAUCGGCCACACUGGAACUGAGACACGGUCCAGACUCCUACGGGAGGCAGCAGUAGGGAAUCUUGCGCAAUGGGCGAAAGCCUGACGGAGCAACGCCGCGUGAGUGAUGAAGGUCUUCGGAUCGUAAAACUCUGUUAUUAGGGAAGAACAAAUGUGUAAGUAACUAUGCACGUCUUGACGGUACCUAAUCAGAAAGCCACGGCUAACUACGUG